UAAAUACUUCCUCUGGAAUUACUUGUCGCAAGAAUGGAUAUAUCUAGAUGUAUUUUAGUUCUAAAUACAUUCAUUUCUAUCCAUUUUCACGGCAAGUAAUUUCAGAUGGAGGGAGUAUGUU
rnacentral:pre_miRNA from 1 species